rnacentral:rRNA from 1 species
CAGUAGCCGCGGUAACACAGAGGAUGCAAGCGUUAUCCGGAAUGAUUGGGUGUAAAGGGUGUGCAGACGGCUUAUUAAGUCACUUGUUAAAUUCUUCGGCCUAACUGAAGGUCUGCAAGUGAUACUGAUGAGCUAGAGGGUGGAAGAGAGAAGUGGAAUUCUCGGAGUAGCGGUAAAAUGCGUAGAUCUCGAGAGGAACACCAAUGGCGAAGGCAGCUUCUUGGUCCAUUCCUGACGUUCAUACACGAAAGCGUGGGGAGCAAACAGGAUUAGAUACCCCCGUAGUCCCUGUCUCUUAUAC